CAAGUCGAGUGCGCGUCUGUAGCAAUACAGAUGGCGCACGGCGCACGGGUGCGUAACACGUGGGUAAUCUGCCCUUCGAUGGGGAAUAUCUUCGGGAAACCGAAGCGAAUUCCGCAUAACAUUCCUUGAACUUCGGUUUGGGGACUCAAAGCCGUAAGGCGUCGGAGGAGGAACCCGCGCACGAUUAGCUAGUUGGUAGGGUAACGGCCUACCAAGGCUUUGAUCGUUAGCUGGCCUGAGAGGAUGGCCAGCCACACUGGAACUGAGACACGGUCCAGACUCCUACGGGAGGCAGCAGUGGGGAAUCUUGCACAAUGGGCGAAAGCCUGAUGCAGCGACGCCGCGUGGGGGAUGAAGCUUUUCGGAGUGUAAACCCCUUUCGACCCGGACGAAUGCCCCGCAAGGGGACUGACGGUACGGGUAUAAGAAGCCCCGGCUAACUACGUGCCAGCAGCCGCGGUAAGACGUGGGGGGCCAGCGUUGCUCGGAAUUACUGGGUGUAAAGGGUUCGUAGGCGGUGUGGCAAGUCGGGAGUGAAAUCUCUGGGCUUAACUCAGAGUCUGCUUCCGAAACUGCUGUGCUUGAGUGUGGGAGAGGCGCGUGGAAUUGCAGGUGUAGCGGUGAAAUGCGUANAUAUCUGCAGGAACACCCGUGGCGAAAGCGGCGCGCUGGACCACUACUGACGCUGAGGAACGAAAGCUAGGGGAGCAAACAGGAUUAGAUACCCUGGUAGUCCUAGCCCUAAACGAUCAGGACUUGGGGUGCCGCACGUUCGUGCGUCGUCCCGGAGCUAACGCGUUAAGUCCUGCACCUGGGGAGUACGGUCGCAAGACUGAAACUCAAAGGAAUUGACGGGGGCCC
rnacentral:rRNA from 1 species